UGUCCUGAUCCACUGUCCUUUGUUCAUGAUGCAGGGACCACUUCCAGUGGAAGCUGUGGAGACUCCCCGAUGGAGUAGUCUAGACUUCACCGUGUGA
rnacentral:lncRNA from 12 species